rnacentral:misc_RNA from 1 species
CUCAAGCAUUGCUUGGUAUUGGGCAUUCGUCCGUCGAAAGACGGGCGUGCCUCGAAGACCUCGGCGUGGCCUAACCGGCUUCGGGCGUAGUAGAGUUAAAUCGAACGUCUUAUAAGUCUGGAUAGGUUCCACUUCUGCCGUUAAACCUUUUAUUUUUCUAGGUUGACCUCGGAUCAGGUAGGGAUACCCGCUGAACUUAA